rnacentral:lncRNA from 1 species
UGCUACUAGCUACUAGUAUUCAGAGGCAUCGUGGGGGUUCUGUAUCUCUUAACCUGCUGUUGUUGGUCUUCCUCUGCUCUUCACAACCGAGUGCUCCCUUCCUCUCAUCUCAGUCUCUUCUCCAUUGCGCUGUCUGGAAGGAAUAGAUCGAUACGCCUUUGUUGUUUGGUGAGCUCAUCCAACCUCCGAGCUCGCCCCUGCCAACUGUGGAGGUAUAUUUCUUUCUAGCUGAAGUACGCUUGGAUCUAAAAACAUGCGUCUCCUGCUUCACUGCUUGGGAGUCUGAUUUGUGUUGAUUGAAUCAUUUGGGGUUGUUAGGACAUAAGACCGUGGCGAUGAACGUGACGUGGCUGGUACGUAUAUGGGCGCGCACCAGGCACGUCGGAUGCAUCGGGUUCACGGGCUAGGUGUGCGUGUGUGGGCGUGUGUGUCGCACGGGGGUGACCAGGUGCGUGCGCAUCGUAGGCGUAGGCGUAGGGGAAGGCUGUUGGCGAACCAUGCGGCGAUCUGGUGCACAUCCGUUGGAGCUGGCCGCGAGCUGCGCGCGGGAGCGCGUCGUGGCGGGAGCGCGGCGAGCGGAUCGUGGGCACGAGAGGGCAGGGAGUGAGGGUGCGUGCCCGGUCACUGACCCUGGGUAUAAAGCUGUACGGUGACGUUGUAAUGGUGCUAGACAUCGAGUUCGUGCUCGAGGGAAUACAAGGGAGGCGUUCGUGCGCCGGGAAAACCUAGGUCUACCCCGUCUACCCCUCCUUCUUCUUCCUUGCGAUCGUCGGCUCGAGUAGCAGAGAGGGACAGCAGGCAGGGGAGGGCGAGCCGGCUAGGGUAGACUCCAACACUUGGUAUCAGAGCCUCCGCUCGAGAGCUCGCCAGCGGCGAUGGCAAUGGUGCCACACGGCGGUGGCGCGGGCGGUUUGGUGUCGUAGCCGAUGCCGAUGCUCACGUCGGACAACUACACGGUGUGGGCCAUCAGGGCGCAGGCAAUCCUCGACGUCCACACCGUGUUGGAGGCAGUGGCGUCGGGCGACGCGGCGGUGAACGCGAGGAAGGACAAGGCGGCGCGCGCUUUGCUCCUGGGAGCGUUGCCGGAGGACGUCCUGCCGCAGGUGGCGACGAAGCCCACCGCCAGGGAGGUAUGGGACUCCCUGAAGGUGAGGUUUGUCGGCGCCGAUCGAGUGCGCGCGGCGAGACUGGCGACGCUGCCCGGAGAAUUCGAUCGACUGAAGAUGGCGGACGGCGAGGCGCUGGACGUGUACGCCGGGAGGCUGGCGGGGAUGACGGCGCGGUACGCGAACCUCGGGGAGACACUGGACGACGAGGCACUGGUGAAAAAGCUACUGGACACCGUGCCGGAUCGCCUGUUCCCCGUCGUCGUUGGCAUCGAACAGUUCUGCGACCCGGCAACCAUGGCGUUCGAUGAGGCGCUAGGGCGGCUGCGUGUGUUCGAGGAGCGAGUCCAGCGUCGGGGACAGGACGACGGUGAGCGUGGCGGAGAACAGCUAAUGCUCACGGCGGAACAAUGGCGUGCGCGGGAACGACGCGGGCGUGCCGGUGCGAGGGACGACGAUGACGAUAGGAGCGUGGCGUCGAGCGCUCGAGGGAAUCAUCGCGGGCGUUGCUACCACUGCAACGAACGCGGCCACUUCAAGAGGGAGUGACCGAGGCGGGAGAAAGUGGCGGCGCCGGAGCGAGCUUUGAUGGGGGAGAUCGACGUCGAGGACGUCGGGCUUCUCUAGGCCACGGUCACGGGGGUGAUUGUUAGGACAUAAGACCGUGGCGAUGAACGUGGCGUGGCUGGUACGUGUAUGGGCGCGCACCAGGCACGUCGGGUGCAUCGGGUUCACGGGGUAGGUGUGCGUGUGUGGGCGUGUGUGUCGCACGGGGGUGACCAGGUGCGCGUGUAUCGUAGGCGUAGGCGUAGGGGGAGGCUGUUGGCGAACCGUGUGGCGAUCUGGUGCAUAUCCGUUGGAGCUGGCCGCGAGCUGCGCGCGGGAGCGCGUCGUGGCGGGAGCGCGGCGAGCGGAUCGUGGGCACCAGAGGGCAGGGACUGAGGGUGCGUGCCCGGUCACUGGCCCUGGGUAUAAAGUUGUACGGUGACGUUGUAAUGGUGCUAGACAUCGAGUUCGUGCUCGAGGGAAUACAAGGAAGGCGUUCGUGCGCCGGGAAAACCUAGGUCUACCCCGUCUACCCCUCUUUCUUCUUCCUUGCGAUCGUCGGCUCGAGUAGCAGAGAGGGACAGCAGGCAGGGGAGGGCGAGCCGGCUAGGGUAGACUCCAACAGGGGUGGCAGUGAAACAGCAAGCAAGAACCAUGGAGUUUCCCCUAACCCGGCUAGAGGCCUCGUAAUCUGCUGACCCUCUCUUCCAGAUCGAGAGAGCGACCGCCGCCGCUAUGUCUGCCUCUGCUGUGAAGCGCCAAAGGUGUGGGCUUGGUCCAGAUCUAGCCAAAUUUUAGUUUGUAACUCAGUUCUAGAGCUUGGAUUGCAUUACAGCUCCCCUCAUUCAUCGAUUUGCAGGUUUCUAGCUGAUUGGUUGUAAAGAGAGCUGCUCAU